rnacentral:rRNA from 1 species
GAAUCUUGGACAAUGGGCGAAAGCCUGAUCCAGCAAUGCCGCGUGCAGGAUGAAUGCCUUCGGGUUGUAAACUCCUUUUGUACCGAACGAAAAGCUUUAGGAUAAUACCCGGGAGUGAUGAUGGUACCGUAAGAAUAAGCACCGGCUAACUACGUUCCAGUAGCCGCGGUAAUACGUAGGGUGCCAGCGUUAAUAGGAAUUACUGGGCGUAAAGCGUGCGCAUGCGGUUUUGUAAGACAGAAGUGAAAUCCCCGGGCUCAACCUGGGAACUGCAUUUGUGACUGCAAGGCUAGAGUACGGCAGAGGGUGGUGGAAUUCCGCGUGUAGCAGUGAAAUGCGUAGAUAUGCGGAGGAACACCGAUGGCGAAGACAACCCCCUGGGCCUGUACUGACGCUCAUGCACGAAAGCGUGGGGAGCAAACA